CCGACGGGUGAGUAACACGUAUCCAGCCUGCCGUCUACUCUUGGACAGCCUUCUGAAAGGAAGAUUAAUACAAGAUGGCAUCAUGAGUCCGCAUGUUCACAUGAUUAAAGGUAUUCCGGUAGACGAUGGGGAUGCGUUCCAUUAGAUAGUAGGCGGGGUAACGGCCCACCUAGUCUUCGAUGGAUAGGGGUUCUGAGAGGAAGGUCCCCCACAUUGGAACUGAGACACGGUCCAA
rnacentral:rRNA from 1 species